AGACCUCGCUGCUGUCGAAGCUCCAUCUAUAAUGGAUAAGACUUCGGUUUUAGUGUGUACAAGUUCUUAAAAAAAGGAGCAAUACCAUUGGGUUGGGUAUUGCUCCUUUUUUUAGUAAUAUUAAUUUGACGUUAAUUGAUUUAACUUUACAUAAACUUAAAGAAGCUUUUUUUUGCUUCACCAUAAGAAAAAGUCUUCUUCUAGAUUGAUUUCUGAUUGAUUAUUAUUAUUAUAGAAUUCGAAUUCUUAUAUUCUAUAUMUUAUAUAAUUCGAAUCAAUUUAUGUACUCAAUUGAUUAUUUAUAUAUCUUUCUUUUGUGAAGUUAGUAUUUUAUUUACAUGGAAGAUAAAAGAUGUAAAAGAUAAAGCUUUCCAUUUUUUGUUUUUUGUAUUGACUAUUYUAUUCUAAGAUUUUUAUAUUAGAUGAAAUUGAAUGAUAAAUGCUAUAAAUUGAAAUCCUUG
rnacentral:misc_RNA from 1 species